UGAUUUCUUGCCUCUCCUGUACUGUUCACUGUCUCAGCUUACUUACAAGGAUACAUUUAUGACUUAACAAUGUAACUCCCAAUAGGCAAAUCAGAAUGACAUCUCCUUCUGUUCAUCUGCAUCCAUUUACUAAAUGGAUCCAGGAAGAUGACACCAAAACUGACCACUGGACCCUUAGCCUGAUUCCUGCAGAUCCUCUGCCUUGCUUUCAUUGGGGUUCCAAGCGUCUCUCCAGCCGCUCCUCAAGCUGAAUCCAUCAGCUCUGAUUUAUUCCAGCAAGUGCUUCAGUGAGAGCCAACAUGGCCUAGUCUAAAGACACCCCUUGCAUGUCCACAUCUGAGAUGAUAAAGUGAAGCUCAGGGUGAUGGGAGGAAUUUGCUUGCGGCGUGAUUCUGCAACAGAGUCCUGUUCCUGACAAUGCUGGAGUUUUUAAGGCUUUGCCUUUCCUCCUCCUUCAGUUACCAAGGUCUUGUAUUCUCUCAGUUAAUACUUUAAUUUGUCUUAUUUCCUCAUCCCUUUUCACCCAUCCUUCACUUUCCUAGGAACAUGUUGGACUAGUGUAUUGUUAAGCCCUCAAGACUCACAUCUGGUAUGGAAUCUUUCAAGGUUCAGUCUACCUGGAUAUGGUCCCUGUCAAGUCAGCCGGUGCUCUGUUCUGAGUGGAGAACAAAAGCAGAAGACAGCUAGAGUCACCAACACAUCAAUCAGUGCUACUCUCAUGCCUUAAUUUUGCUUUGGCAAACCCGUACUUUUUCCUAGCAUCUGGAUAUCAACGGCCAGGCACCUCAUUCUCUGAGAGCACCUGGCCCCUCUCUCUGUCUCUGUCCUUGGGCUCAAAGGCUGAGUAUGCUAUAUGUGUUUGGCCUGAGUUGCAUGUUCCUCCCAGUGUGAUAGUCUCCACCCUUGCCCUCUCACCCAGCAAGCAUCCUGUUUCAUUCUGCUGCUGCUCCAGACUGCAGAGUUCCCAGCAGGUGAUGGGCCAGACUCCGGACCAGUGACAGGAAUUACAUGGAAAGUAAAGGAAUGACCCAAGACUUGAUUUCAGAACUGCAUCCUCAGCAUGGUGCAAUCUACAUGUACUCAAGGGUAGAAGCCAACCUGGACUGAGAUAUCUCAAUAAAGAAGUGUUGGAGAAAAUGAA